rnacentral:rRNA from 1 species
ACGGAAGGCAGCAGUGAGGAAUAUUGGUCAAUGGGCGCAAGCCUGAACCAGCCACGUCGCGUGAAGGAAGACUGCCCUAUGGGUUGUAAACUUCUUUUGCAUGGGAAUAAAGUGGGCCACGUGUGGCUUUUUGUAUGUACCAUUCGAAUAAGCAUCGGCUAACUCCGUGCCAGCAGCCGCGGUAAUACGGAGGAUGCGAGCGUUAUCCGGAUUUAUUGGGUUUAAAGGGUGCGUAGGCGGGAUGGUAAGUCAGUGGUGAAAGUUUGGGGCUCAACCGGAAAAUUGCCGUUGAAACUGCCGUGCUUGAGUGCGAGAGAGGUAGGCGGAAUGUGCCGUGUAGCGGUGAAAUGCAUAGAUAUGGUACAGAACACCGAUUGCGAAGGCAGCCUACUAGUACGCUACUGACGCUGAGGCACGAAAGCGUGGGUAUCGAACAGGAUUAGAUACCCUGGUA